GACGCCGGCGAGUGGCGAACGGGUGAGUAAUGCAUCGGAACGUACCCAGUAGUGGGGGAUAACUUACCGAAAGGUAAGCUAAUACCGCAUACGCACUGAGGUGGAAAGCAGGGGACCGCAAGGCCUUGCGCUAUUGGAGCGGCCGACGUCGGAUUAGCUAGUUGGUGGGGUAAAGGCCUACCAAGGCGACGAUCCGUAGCGGGUCUGAGAGGAUGAUCCGCCACACUGGAACUGAGACACGGUCCAGACUCCUACGGGAGGCAGCAGUGGGGAAUUUUGGACAAUGGGCGCAAGCCUGAUCCAGCCAUGCCGCGUGAGUGAAGAAGGCCUUCGGGUUGUAAAGCUCUUUCGGCCGGGAAGAAAUCGUGGUGGCUAAUACCUGCCAUGGAUGACGGUACCGGACUAAGAAGCACCGGCUAACUACGUGCCAGCAGCCGCGGUAAUACGUAGGGUGCGAGCGUUAAUCGGAAUUACUGGGCGUAAAGCGUGCGCAGGCGGUUGUGUAAGACAGGCGUGAAAUCCCCGGGCUCAACCUGGGAACUGCGCUUGUGACUGCACGGCUAGAGUACGGCAGAGGGGGGUGGAAUUCCACGUGUAGCAGUGAAAUGCGUAGAGAUGUGGAGGAACACCGAUGGCGAAGGCAGCCCCCUGGGUCGAUACUGACGCUCAUGCACGAAAGCGUGGGGAGCAAACAGGAUUAGAUACCCUGGUAGUCCACGCCCUAAACGAUGUCGACUAGUUGUUGGAGGGGUAAAACCCUUUAGUAACGUAGCUAACGCGUGAAGUCGACCGCCUGGGGAG
rnacentral:rRNA from 1 species